GCUUUCAGUAUAUAAAUCUUCAACAUUUUUAAAAAUGUUCUUUCAACUGGCAAAUAUGAUACUAUUUCUCCUAAAGUAACUACAUUAAAAAUUUUCGUCAUGAUUUUAAUUAACAUUAUAAACAGAUAUUCAUCCAAGAAGAGAGAUUUACACUAACUAAGAACCUGGUAUUUAUUAUUUAUUAAAGUAUUUUCCCUCGUUGCCAAUCAUAUUCACCAAGCAAGCAUAUGAACAGAAAUGCUUGAUGAUGGGAGGUUUCUGCUUUCUAUUCAUUAAAGGCAUUCUAUAAAUUUGUAUACUGUAAAUUUAAAAAUCAUUGCGUGCAUUUAUUAUUGUGAUUUUUAGAAUACAAUGCGAUUUCAAUUUUUGAUAUUGAGGACACUCAGAAAUAUCCUGUUUAAUUCAUAUAAAGAAUUUCAAACUGCGAGUUUUAGUUAUUGCAAUAGUAACCCUGUAGCAUUUUUCGAAUUAAUUAAAACAUCGCAAUAAUUUCUGAAUUUACAGUACAUGGCCUUCCAGAAAUAAGACCGACGGAUUUAGUUGUUUUUGCAUAAACAUGAAAUAAUAUCAAGGUUUUCAUUUACGUAUCACAGAAAACUUUUCUGCAUUAAAUUGAUCAUAGCAUUACUAUAAUUUUAAAGGGAUGAUAGAAUUUGACUGUUCUUAACCUUGCCUGGACAAAAUUGAAUGUAUUUUAUCAAACCUUAUCCUUUUAUAUUAUUUUUUGUACAAAUAAACAACUAGAAACACUUUAAACUGUUAUGUUAUUUAGCCCAAUUUCAAGCCUCACAACCUUGUUAUAAAGAAAAUAUAAAUGUAAGAGAUAUUAAGUAUGGUAUUAUUAGAAAAGUGUGUACGUCAUUCUUACACAUGUUUUACAAUUGAUUAUUAAUGCCAUGAAAUCUGAAGAAGCAAAAAUGAAGAUUGUUGUACCGGUAAUUGUAAAAAAAAGUUCUAACUAGAGGCUCUAAAGAGCCUGUGUCGCUCACCUUGGUCUAUGUGAAUAUUAAAGGAAGCAGAUGGAUUCAUGACAAAAUUGUGUUUUGCUGAUGGUGAUGUGUUUGCACAUCUUACUUUACUAAACAUUCUUGCUGCUUAAAAUUAUCUCUAUCUAUAAUGAACUUGGCCAUUAGUUUCAGUGGAAAAUGUUAGUAAAAAAUUUACAAUUUUAUGAAAUUGUUAAAAUUGACUAUAAGAACAAUAACUCCUAAGGGGGUCAAUUACCAUUUCGGUCAUGUUGAUUAUUUGUAAAUCUUACUGCUGAACUUAUUGUUGUUUACAGUUUAUCUCUAUCAAUAAUAAUAUUCAAGAUAAUACAAAAACAGCAAAAUUUCCUUAAAACUAACAAUUGGGUCAGCAACCCAACAACGGGUUGUCCGAUUCAUCUAAAAAUUUCAGGGCAGAUAAAUGUUGACCUGAUAAACAAUUUUACCCCCUGUCAGAUUUGCUUUAAAUGCUUUGGGUUUUGAGUUAUAAGCCAAAAACUGCAUUUUACCCCAUGUUCUAUUUUUAGCCAUGGUGCCAUCUUGGUGGAUGGCCGGGUCACCGGACACUUUUCAAACUACUAACCCAAAAAAUGAUUGUGGCCAAGUUUGGAUUAAUUUGGCCCAGUAGUUUCAGAGGAGAAGAUUUUUGUAAAAUAUUACUAAGAUUUACCAAAAAUGGUUAAAAAUUGACUAUAAAGAACAAUACUCCUAAGAAGGUCAACUGACCAUUUCAGUCAUGUUGACUUAUUUGUAAAUCUUACUUGGACAUUAUGCUGUUUAUGGUUUAUCUCUAUCUAUAAUAAUAUUCAAGAUAAUAACCAAAAAGAGCAAAAUUUCCUUAAAUUACUAAUUCAGGCAGCAACCCAACAACGGCUGUCCGAUUCAUCUUGAAAAUUUCAGGCAGAUAGAUCUUGAACUGAUAAACAAUUUACCCUUUGUCAGAUUUGCUCUAAAUGCUUUGGGUUGAGUUAUAAGCCAAAACUGCAUUUUACCCCAUGUUCUAUUUUUGCCAUGGCGGCCAUCUUUUUGAUGCCGGGUCACCAGACACAUUUUCAAACUACUAACCCAAAAAUGAUUGUGCCAAUGAUUAAUUUGGCCCAUAGUUUCAGAGGAGAAGAUUUUUGUAAAAUAUUACUAAAUUUACGAAAAAUGGUUAAAAAUUGACUAUAAAGGGCAAUAACUCCUAAAGGGGUCAACUGACCAUUUCCGUCAUGUUGACUUAUUUGUAAAUCUUACUUUGCUGAACAUUAUUGCUGUUUACUGUUUAUCUCUAUUAUAAUAUUCAGAUAAUAACCAAAACAGAAAAAUUUCCUUAAAAUUACUAAUUCAGGCAGCAACCCAACACGGUUAUCCAUUCAUCUGAAAAUUCAAGGGCAGAUGAUCUUCACUGUUUAAAAUUCUACCCCAUGUCAGAUUUGCUCUAAAUGUUUGGUUUUGAGUUAUUAGCCAAACUGCAUUUACCCUAUGUUCUAUUUUAGCCAUGGCGGCCAUCUGGAUGGUUGGCGGUCACCGGACACAUUUUUUAAACUAGAUACCAAUUGAUGAUUGUGGCCAAGUUUGGUUUAAUUUGGCAGUGUUUCAGAGGAGAAAUUUUUGUAAAAGUUAACGGACGACACGACGACGGACGACGACGGACGACAGGACGCCGGACGCCAAGUGAUGAGAAAAGCUCACUUGGCCUUUUAGGCCAGGUGAGCUAAAAAUGUUAACCUAUUAACUUUGUGUGACUGAAUUAUGAGGGCAGCCUUAUUUCAUUGCUCCUGUCAAGCUAUACAGGCACCACUUAAUUAUUUUUAUAUUUUUUUUUUUAUCCAUUUCUUCUUCUUCCAAAUAUUCAAUAUGAUAAAUAUUCUGGCAAUUGCAAAUUACAGACCAGGUUAAAAUUGUAAGUUUAAGAGAUUCUGAAUUCAAUGAUCUUAAAAUUUUACAUAACAGCAAUGUGUCUAAUGGUUUGUACACUAGUUUCUUUUAACACUGCCAUUUUGUGAUGAUUAAUUACACCAUAAAAUGUAACUUUUGUAUUUUUCAAAAUCAAUUAAAAUAUAAGCAGACAAUCUUUUUUUUUUCUUUAGACAGAUUUAAACACCUCCAUAUCACACAUGAAUAAUUACAUUAUUUGUAUGUUUCAUAACAUCUGAACUUCUGAUUGGCUGACAAUGGAAUUAAAUAACCAUUCCAAAAUUAAAUUUAUUUCCCAAUGAUAAAGUGAUUUCAAUGCAUAGGAUAACAAACAUAAAUUUGAUAUAACUUGCUUUUUCAUGAUUGUAGUAUAAAAAUUUAACAUAAGAAUUGAAUACUUCUUUUUGUAAUAGCGUUGAUUGUGCAUUUAAUAAUGUGCUUUAGUCAACACUUUUACACCCCAAUAAAAUUCAGUCAGGAUUCUACUUUGUCAAAAUUAUCUCCCUAUUAGGCAACCUUAUCUUUUUUCAUACUGAAAAUGCAAGCUAUAUAGGGAUGAUAGGCUGUCAAUUUAGCUCUUGAAAACUUGAUAAAUAUCUUCUCUAAAUAAGAGCUAAUUUUCUUUUGUUUGAUUUCAAUUGGAUAUCAGUCUGAAUUACAAAAAAGAAGCAUUCAAUUGUUUAACAAUUUUCAUCUAACAUGACAAAAAUCUAAGUGGGAAUAAAGCAGACAGGGACGAGAAUCUAGGAAUUCAUUUUAUAUGGCCUUUUUUCUUUUUUUAGGGGGGUUAAAAACAGCAUGACCUUUUGCUAAAAGAAUGAUGAAAAGGAAGAAAGUUAUUUAAUAUAACUCCGUUCACUAGUACAAGACUGACCAUGAAAUAUAAAAUGUAAAGAGGUACACUGCAGUUUUAUAAAAAUGCUGGACAAGACAUAGUAAAUUAUAAAUGUCAACAGUUAGGUUCCAAGCUUCACACACACACACAAUAGUCCAUGCAUAUCAAGUAUCUCUUUCUUCAACUAUUUGUUCAAAUGCAUUUUAUGCCAUUAACUUUGAAUUUCAAGUCUCUUGGAUUUACUACAUUCAGGAAAAUUCAUUUUGAUUCUCACUUUUUCUCUAUUUCUAAAAUUCAAAGUUUUUUUUAAAGCACUAUCACAGGAUAAAUAAAUGACACUUGAUGUUUUUUUCUUUCUCUCUCUCUCACGAUGCAUUCCCAUUGACUUGGUCUGGUUGAUUGCUGGCAGGGAUGAUAAAUGAUGGAGAAUAAGGGAAAAGUUUAUGACAGUCAGCUUGGUAUUUCUGUGCCGUCGUCUCACAUUUUCCAAAAUCACCUCGACACAUUGCUUCAAGCACUUCUAUACAAUUCUACAAAUGUAAAUGAAACCAUUUUAACAUCAGCAUUUUUUUUAAUGUGGAUAGAACCAUUGCUUUCAUGUUGGAACAACUUAUCCAUGAAGCCUAUAGAUAAAUAUAUAUUAAUUCAUGGUUAACCUAUACACAUGAAUUCCACUAAAUAGAUAUAGGAAGAUGUGACAAUGAGACAACUUUCCAUCCAAGUAACAAUUUAUAAAAGUAAACCAUUAUAGGUCAAGGUGCGGCCUUCAACAUGGGAGCUUUGGCUCACACCAACAGCAAGCUAUAAAAAGCCCCAAAAACCAAAGUAUGUUCUCCACUAUUAAUAAUAAAUGUUAUGAUUCAUUUAAAACAUAAGAACAACAAGAUAUGUACAUCUGAAUCAGUUUAAGCACAGCUGCUUUAGAAAGUCAACUUUAUAUUAAUUCAUUAUGAAGGUUUCCCUUUGCUUUUGUCAAAUG
rnacentral:lncRNA from 1 species